CUUGUGCCACCUCCAGGAAACUGGUCAGCAUGAGACAGCUCCAUCCGACCCUCUGUUCCAGAAUAGAAACUGGUCCUGCCACUUACUACUCACAGGACCUCUUCUGAUGGUGCUUUGGUUGAACGUGGAUGUGGACAGAGCCUGACUGGGAGGCUUCGGGAGGAUGAGGAAGAGAAGGCACUCAACACUUUCUGCAUCCUCUCCUACAAGAAGAGUCCACUCCAGCCGGAUAGGAAGAGAGUCGACAGAACCAAAUUCCGUUCACUGGUUCUGCCAGCGGGACUUCAGCAAGAAGAUUCCACCAGGCAUUUCCUAUGGAUGCAAAUCACUGUUUGAGGUGUUAAAGACCUGCAGUCCCUACGGGGGCCCAUGGCGUGGUGUAUCCUCGGGUGAUGCGUGUUGACUGGAUGCAGGAACAGAAGGAAGUGAUGCUGGAGAACACCGGGAAACCCGUCAGGUGCGCGAGCGUCCAGAAAUGGGAGCUUUCCUUUCCAACACAAGUCAGCGCUCGCUAACCUGCUUUCAGCCCCGUUCUCCUCCUUGGCACGCUCACGGGUUAUUAACUCUCAGCCUCUCCUGCGUGUGCCCAUCAGGGUUCCCUUAUGCCUAAUUGAAUCCACAGAUGCCUCAUUUUAUUAUUUCUGUCAAUGACUCAAGCUGGAUUUAGCAUAAGGUGACCCAGCAGACAAGCUGCCCAUUUAGUCUCCUGGGACCCCAGCACGUCAGCAACGUUCACCAGGUCCCUCCUCGCGGUCACUCCCGGGAUGCGGUUGGUCCGGGUCAGCCCAAGCCCUACAGCUUUUCAGGGAAGCGUCUUCUCCGGGCUUACUCCCAAAGGGACCAGGCUUUCCAUGUCCUCAUACAGAACUCAGGUCUGGAAAUUCUUGACUUGAGAAAACAGGGUUGUACUGGGGUCAAAUAAACAAG
ensembl:lncRNA